AUGGUGUGUGUGUCGCUGUCAGGUUCUCCUGGGGAGAGUUCUAGUGAUGUCGAGUGUUGUGUGUCUGCAUCUGCACUGUGUGUGUGUGUGUGUAAUGAGAGGGAUAUCCUCUUGGAGACUCCUGUCUGGCAAGAGCUGGAAACAGAUCAUCACCUUGUGGACCUGAUAUCAACAGAGAGAGAGAGAGAGAGAGAGUGUGAAAAACAAGGAAAGAGAGAUGAACAACCACCAUUUUUUUUUUUUCCAUUGGAGUAAUGCUGUAGAGCACUUGCAUCAGACAACAAGACCUGAUGUUGGUGCCAGGCUCUAUUGAUCAGUCCUAACAGUUAUUCCAGCCCUUUAAACUCGGCCCAGGACUACUGCAGCACAGAAUUAAAUGAAAUAAAUCCCUCAGAGACAACA
ensembl:lncRNA